rfam:Picea glauca, whole genome shotgun sequence.
UCUUAUGUACAUGCUUACAACAAAUAUUAAUGAUUUGGAUCCCAUUAGAACUCCGCAAUUACAUGUGCUUGGGCUAGACUAGUACUCAGCUGGGUGACCGCCCAAGAAGUCCUAGUAUUUUACAUGCC